GGCCCUACGGGGCGCAGCAGGCGCGAAAACUUUACAAUGCAGGCAACUGUGAUAAGGGAACCCCGAGUGCCCGUAUGGACGGGCUGUUCAGGUGCUUAAAAACCACCUGGAGAAAGGGCCGGGCAAGACCGGUGCCAGCCGCCGCGGUAAUACCGGCGGCCCGAGUGGUGGCCACUAUUACUGGGCUUAAAGCGUCCGUAGCUUGGUCGUUAAGCCUCUGGGGAAAUCUUCCGGCUCAACCGGAAGGCGUCUCAGGGGAACUGGCGACCUAGGGAUCGGGAGAGGUGAGAGGUACUCUGGGGGUAGGAGUGAAAUCCUGUAAUCCUCAGGGGACCACCUGUGGCGAAGGCGUCUCACCAGAACGACUCCGACAGUGAGGGACGAAAGCUGGGGGAGCAAACCGGAUUANAUNCCCGGGUAGUCCCAGCCGUAAACNAUGCGCGUUAGGUGUAUCGGUGACCACNAGUUACCNANGUGCCGAAGGGAAACCAUGAAACGCGCCGCCUGGGACGUNCGGNCGCAAGGCUGAANCUUAAA
rnacentral:rRNA from 1 species